GACGAACGCUGGCGGCGUGCUUAACACAUGCAAGUCGAACGGAAAGGCCCUGCAUUUGUGGGGUGCUCGAGUGGCGAACGGGUGAGUAACAAGUGAGUAACCUGCCCUUGACUUUGGGAUAACUUCAGGAAACUGGGGCUAAUACCGGAUAGGAGCUCCUGCUGCAUGGUAGGGGUUGGAAAGUUUCGGCGGUUGGGGAUGGACUCGCGGCUUAUCAGCUUGUUGGUGGGGUAGUGGCUUACCAAGGCUUUGCCGGGUAGCCGGCCUGAGAGGGUGACCGGCCACAUUGGGACUGAGAUACGGCCCAGACUCCUACGGGAGGCAGCAGUGGGGAAUAUUGCACAAUGGGCGGAAGCCUGAUGCAGCAACGCCGCGGGCGGGAUGACGGCCGUCGGGUUGUAAACCGCUGUCGCCUGUGACGAAGCGUGAGUGACGGUAAUGGGUAAAGAAGCACCGGCUAACUACGUG
rnacentral:rRNA from 1 species